UACGAAGGGGGCUAGCGUUGCUCGGAAUCACUGGGCGUAAAGCGCACGUAGGCGGAUUCUUAAGUCAGGGGUGAAAUCCUGGAGCUCAACUCCAGAACUGCCUUUGAUACUGGGAAUCUCGAGUCCGGGAGAGGUGAGUGGAACUGCGAGUGUAGAGGUGAAAUUCGUAGAUAUUCGGAGGAACACCAGUGGCGAAGGCGGCUCACUGGUCCAUUACUGACACUGAGGUGCGAAAGCGUGGGGAGCAAACAGG
rnacentral:rRNA from 1 species